rnacentral:rRNA from 1 species
UACGGGGGGGGGUAAGCGUUGUUCGGAAUUACUGGGCGUAAAGGGCUCGUAGGCGGCCAACUAAGUCAUACGUGAAAUCCCUCGGCUUAACCGGGGAACUGCGUCUGAUACUGGAUGGCUUGAGUUUGGGAGAGGGAUGCGGAAUUCCAGGUGUAGCGGUGAAAUGCGUAGAUAUCUGGAGGAACACCGGUGGCGAAGGCGGCACUCUGGGCCGGUACUGACGCUGAGGAGCGAAAGUGUGGGGGAGCGAACAGG